ACUGAUUGAUGGUGCUUGCACCUGAUUGACGAUGGAUCACCAGUGAGUGGCGGACGGGUGAGUAACACGUAGGUAACCUGCCCCGGAGCGGGGGAUAACAUUUGGAAACAGAUGCUAAUACCGCAUAACAACAAAAGCCACAUGGCUUUUGUUUGAAAGAUGGCUUUGGCUAUCACUCUGGGAUGGACCUGCGGUGCAUUAGCUAGUUGGUAAGGUAACGGCUUACCAAGGCGAUGAUGCAUAGCCGAGUUGAGAGACUGAUCGGCCACAAUGGAACUGAGACACGGUCCAUACUCCUACGGGAGGCAGCAGUAGGGAAUCUUCCACAAUGGGCGCAAGCCUGA
rnacentral:rRNA from 2 species